AUUGAACGCUGGCGGCAGGCCUAACACAUGCAAGUCGAGCGAGAGGCGGACGGGUGAGUAAUGUAUGGGGACUGCCCGAUAGAGGGGGAUAACUACUGGAAACGGUGGCUCAUACGGCAUACUGUCGGAUAACCCAUAUGGGAUUAGCUAGUAGGUAAGGUAAUGGCUUACCUAGGCGACGAUCCCUAGCUGGUCUGAGAGGAUAAUCAGCCACACUGGGACUGAGACACGGCCCAGACUCCUACGGAGGCAGCAGUAGGGAAUAUUGCACAAUGGGCGCAAGCCUGAUGAAGCCAUGCCGCGUGUAUGAAGAAGGCCCUAGGGUUGUAAAGUACUUUCAGUCGGGAGGCGUUACCGACAGAAGAAGCACCGGCUAACUCCGUGCCAGCAGCCGCGGUAAUAC
rnacentral:rRNA from 1 species